rnacentral:lncRNA from 1 species
UCAUCUCUCUUCUUCUCUAUACUUCCAUCUCGAUUGAUAUUAUCCAUCUAUCCCGUCAAAAUUUGUUGAAGAAAAUCUAUGCCCAGAGCUCUAUAAUUUUGGGCAAUGAUGGGAAAGUUAGAAAACUUUUAGUUGUAAUGUGUUUUUACCUCUGGUUCAAUAAUUACAAAUUUUAAACCAAUGGGCUUAAUCUCAAUGCCCUCCAAUCAUUACUUUUCCUUCAAUUCGACUGAAAGAGGUGACCCUUUUUCCUCCUUUAUUUCUUUUCAUCAAUUAAUCCCACUGAUUUUCCCCUAC